GUCUUUUUGUUUAUAAUUUAAAGUCUAACCUGCCCACUGAAAUUUGAAUGGCCGCGGUAUUUUGACCGUGCGAAGGUAGCAUAAUAAUUAGUUUUUUAAUUGGAAGCUGGAAUGAAUGGUUGAACGAGGAAAUAGCUGUCUCUAUAUUAAUUUAUUAGAAUUUUAUUUUUAAGUUAAAAAGCUUAAAUAAGUUUAAAAGACGAGAAGACCCUAUAGAUUUUUAUAAAAUUUUUAUUUAAAAAUUUUUAGGAUAUUUGUUUUUUAAUUAAAUAUUUUAUUUUAUUGGGGUGAUAGAAAAAUUUAAUUAACUUUUUUUUUAUUUUAACAUUGAUAUAUGAUUUAAUGAUCCAUAUUUUAUGAUUAUAAGAUUAAAUUACCUUAGGGAUAACAGCGUAAUUUUUUCUAAGAGUUCUUAUCGAAGAAAAAGAUUGCGACCUCGAUGUUGGAUUAAAAUUAAUGCUUGGUGUAGAAGUUAAGCAGUUGGGUCUGUUCGACCUUUAAAAUUUU
rnacentral:rRNA from 1 species